rnacentral:rRNA from 1 species
UACGUAGGUGGCAAGCGUUGUCCGGAAUUAUUGGGCGUAAAGCGCGCGCAGGCGAUCCUUUAAGUCUGAUGUGAAAGCCCACGGCUCAACCGUGGAGGGUCAUUGGAAACUGGGGGACUUGAGUGCAGAAGAGGAAAGCGGAAUUCCACGUGUAGCGGUGAAAUGCGUAGAGAUGUGGAGGAACACCAGUGGCGAAGGCGGCUUUCUGGUCUGUAACUGACGCUGAGGCGCGAAAGCGUGGGGAGCAAACAGG